ACUAUUUUUCUUUUCUUAAUCCUGUGUACGGAGUAGUAAACUUUAAUCAUUGUGAUCAUCUUGAAUUUUAAGUCUUAAAAUAUGUUUAUCGAUUGUCUUGUUGCUUUGAACACUGAAACAAUUGGUUGAGCAGAUCCCUGGUGUGUCUAUUAUGUACAUGACAGGACACAAAUAUUCUAUUGAGCAGCUGCCUGAAGCUACAAUGGGGGAGGAUGAAUUACUGCAAACACAGGAUGAAUUGAUAUAGUAUCUCUGGGGAAUUGCUCGGCUGCUAAAGAGAAAAAGGAAAAUGAAUACAUUAUCAUAAAAGCUUUGGACAAGCUACAACAAAAUCAUGGAGUAGAAGCUCCAGAAACAAUCCCCCUCAAACAAGAAGAUGAUGAAAUCAAUGCACCAAAGAACAGUUAUCCAGCAAGAUAUUGAAAAUUAAACUUCUGAAAUAACCACUACUGUGUGUUUCUUUCUUUACUACCAUUGUUGGUUUGAUGUAAAAUCUCAAUGCUUAGUAGUCACAACCGAUCUUUUGACUAUGUAUAACUUCACUAAGCUUGGAGACAUCCAACCUUUUGAUCACGUACAAGUUUACUAAAGGUAGUCCGUAGGAUUACAUUUUUACUUUUGUACGCAAGGAAAACAAUUUAACACACUCUAUGUAAUUAGGUGUAAGCUGACUUUUGAAGUAAAUACGAAUAAUGUAAUAUAACUGUUGUAGUAUUUGCAUAAAUGCGAAUUACAAUAUCCUGGUGGUGAAUUGCUGUU